ACAAUGAAGAGUUUGAUCCUGGCUCAGGAUGAACGCUAGCUACAGGCUUAACACAUGCAAGUCGAGGGGCAUCAGGAAGAAAGCUUGCUUUCUUUGCUGGCGACCGGCGCACGGGUGAGUAACACGUAUCCAACCUGCCCUUUACUCGGGGAUAGCCUUUCGAAAGAAAGAUUAAUACCCGAUGGGAUAAUCAUUCCGCAUGGUUUGAUUAUUAAAGGAUUCCGGUAAAGGAUGGGGAUGCGUUCCAUUAGGUUGUUGGUGAGGUAACGGCUCACCAAGCCUUCGAUGGAUAGGGGUUCUGAGAGGAAGGUCCCCCACAUUGGAACUGAGACACGGUCCAAACUCCUACGGGAGGCAGCAGUGAGGAAUAUUGGUCAAUGGGCGCGAGCCUGAACCAGCCAAGUAGCGUGAAGGAUGACUGCCCUAUGGGUUGUAAACUUCUUUUAUAUUAGAAUAAAGUGCAGUAUGUAUACUGUUUUGUAUGUAUAAUAUGAAUAAGGAUCGGCUAACUCCGUGCCAGCAGCCGCGGUAAUACGGAGGAUCCGAGCGUUAUCCGGAUUUAUUGGGUUUAAAGGGAGCGUAGGUGGACUGGUAAGUCAGUUGUGAAAGUUUGCGGCUCAACCGUAAAAUUGCAGUUGAUACUGUCAGUCUUGAGUACAGUAGAGGUGGGCGGAAUUCGUGGUGUAGCGGUGAAAUGCUUAGAUAUCACGAAGAACUCCGAUUGCGAAGGCAGCUCACUGGACUGCAACUGACACUGAUGCUCGAAAGUGUGGGUAUCAAACAGGAUUAGAUACCCUGGUAGUCCACACAGUAAACGAUGAAUACUCGCUGUUUGCGAUAUACAGUAAGCGGCCAAGCGAAAGCAUUAAGUAUUCCACCUGGGGAGUACGCCGGCAACGGUGAAACUCAAAGGAAUUGACGGGGGCCCGCACAAGCGGAGGAACAUGUGGUUUAAUUCGAUGAUACGCGAGGAACCUUACCCGGGCUUAAAUUGCAGUGGAAUGAUGUGGAAACAUGUCAGUGAGCAAUCACCGCUGUGAAGGUGCUGCAUGGUUGUCGUCAGCUCGUGCCGUGAGGUGUCGGCUUAAGUGCCAUAACGAGCGCAACCCUUAUCUUCAGUUACUAACAGGUCAUGCUGAGGACUCUGGAGAGACUGCCGUCGUAAGAUGUGAGGAAGGUGGGGAUGACGUCAAAUCAGCACGGCCCUUACGUCCGGGGCUACACACGUGUUACAAUGGGGGGUACAGAAGGCAGCUACCUGGUGACAGGAUGCUAAUCCCAAAAGCCUCUCUCAGUUCGGAUCGAAGUCUGCAACCCGACUUCGUGAAGCUGGAUUCGCUAGUAAUCGCGCAUCAGCCACGGCGCGGUGAAUACGUUCCCGGGCCUUGUACACACCGCCCGUCAAGCCAUGGGAGCCGGGGGUACCUGAAGUACGUAACCGCAAGGAGCGUCCUAGGGUAAAACUGGUGACUGGGGCUAAGUCGUAACAAGGUAGCCGUACCGGAAGGUGCGGCUGGAACACCUCCUUU
rnacentral:rRNA from 1 species